rnacentral:misc_RNA from 1 species
GUUAGCUCGAGGCUAGCGCCGGCGCCGUCACCUUGCCGGAAAAUUCAAGAAUAGCAAGUGGGGAAAAGCAAUUUUCAGUUUCGGUGUGCCAUAAGAAGUUGUUCUGUAAAUCAGAAUGGCCAAACGUGAACUAUCCGGUACCUUGAGGAACUUGAAGUUUAUGCAAAGGGCUUCUCUCAGAGAGGAAAAGCCCAAGAAGGAAGAAGAAGUGAUACCUGAUGGAAACUUCUCCUCCUCUAGUGCUCCCAAAAGAUGUGUUAUCAUUAUGGAAGGGGAUCCCCAUCCUGGGGCUAUAAAAGGUCGGAUGUCUUU